AUCAUACGUAAACGAUAACAUAUAUCGAUAUAAAAUUACCCUUGUAAUUUUAAUAAAUGUCACAAACCCCUUCAAGCAACUGGUUUUGCCGAGAUCUUCCGGGCAUUUUCAUGUUGUAAAUACGGGGGACGUCGAUUUUGUGCUUCUGGAAUUAAAGACAUAUUUUUGAACAAAUGUUGCAUUUUCCUAGUUUAAGGGUGACUCUUUGAUAAUUAAUUCCAAAACAAGAAAAUAUUGGCUUGCUAGAACUGACAAAAUCAACGCACUUUUCUGAAGUGUGAUUUGGUACGGUCCGCACAAGUUUCGCGCCAUUUCUAUCAUUUCGGCGCCGUUCGUCUUUCAAUUUCUGUCACAGAGGACACAGAGCGGUCACAGAGCAAACAAGAAACACGACCAAACGACAUCCAUCCACAUCUGCAAUAACAUACCCAGUACCCACAAAACAUCUGAAGUCCGGUAGCACAAUGAUCCUCACGCUGCAGACUGUGCAUCACAGUGACAUAGCUGCACUUGUUGUAGCACAGGAAGACCCACCGGAGAUGAAGGUCCAAGUGUACCAACGCCCCGGAGCCCCAAUCGCCGGGUUGAUGAUGUACGCUAGGUUGGACGGCACGUGGUACCCAUGCGGUUGGAUUCGCGAGAAGAACAAGGACUCUGUCCUUAAUUUGUCAUCGGAAGGGGGCUUAGAAAGCCUGAGCUGUGUCCUACAGGACCGGUACACUAAGAAAGGCUACCAUGUCUUAAAAGUUAGCAUACUUUAGAGCCUUAUCAAAAUGUUUUGACGGCACUACAAUUCACUACAUUACAAUAUUUAAACAGCACUAAAGUUUACUACGUUAUAAUAGUUAAACAUUGGU